rnacentral:rRNA from 1 species
GGAGUUAGCCGGUGCUUCUUCUGUGAGUGAUGUCCUUCCUGCCGGCUAUUAACCCGCAGGCCUUCUUCCUCACUGAAAGUGCUUUACAACCCGAAGGCCUUCUUCACACACGCGGCAUGGCUGGAUCAGGGUUGCCCCCAUUGUCCAAUAUUCCCCACUGCUGCCUCCCGUAGGAGUCUGGGCCGUGUCUCAGUCCCAGUGUGGCUGAUCAUCCUCUCAGACCAGCUACGGAUCGUCGCCUUGGUGAGCCGUUACCUCACCAACCAGCUAAUCCGACAUAGGCUCAUCCGAUAGCGCGAGGCCCGAAGGUCCCCCGCUUUCCCCCGUAGGGCGUAUGCGGUAUUAGCCUGGGUUUCCCCAGGUUAUCCCCCACUACCGGGCAGAUUCCUAUGCAUUACUCACCCGUCCGCCGCUCGCCACCAGGGAGCAAGCUCCCCGUGCUGCCGCUCGACUUGCANGUGUAGCGCGCCGCCACGCGUCAUACUGAGCCACUGAUACAAACUACUCGA